AAAACAAAGCGAACAUUGAGAAAAUUUAAGCGAAACUCGAAAACAUUCAUUUGGUUUGUUCGGUGGUGUGUGGUUAUUCAACAGACACAAAAACAAUGCUUAAAGCCAGGUACAACCCCGUGUAUGGAAACGAAUAUUACUUGGGGGAUACUAGAUCUAUACCUGACUAUAGAAUCCAUAGGUCUUACAAUUUCUACGAUUUCUGGCCUUACAGACUAAAAAUCACUUACAGGAAUAGACCAUUCAGAAGAUGGCUGACCACUCCAAGUUUAUUUAGACAAAACUUAUAUUCGAACGAAAGCAGUUUAGUGACAUCGAGUUCCAGCGUAUCCAGAUACAGCUCUUAUUAGACAUUAUAGGAAAUUAAAUAAAAUGUAAACUUUUUGUUAAUGUAUUCAUUUACACGUUAUACUACUUAAAAUUUUGUCAAUGUUAACUUUUAUAAAACGUAUAUUUUUUUAAAAUAAACUCAUUAUUAAAUAUUA